UCCUCCUCCUCCUUCUCCUUCUUCUCUUCUUCUUCUUCUUCUUUCUUUUCUUUUUUCCUAUUUAUUCUCCUCUUCUUGGAGCUAAAUUACCUAAUUAUGUCUUUCUGGAGCUAAAUGGGCUAAUUAUCUCAUUUUAGAGGAAAACAAGCUAAGUAUAUAAUAUUCAUGAGCUAACCAAGGUUCUUAUGCCAUUUUGAGGUUAUUAUGGCAUUUCGGAGCUAAAUGGGCUAAUUAUGUCUUUUUGGGGAAAUUAAAGCAAGGAUAAU
rnacentral:lncRNA from 1 species